GCCUAUUUUCACCGAACUGUUAACGGCUGCUUUGGAACUUCUCACAUCAUGCCGUUGCUCAGCAGAUACUAAAUCUAGCGUGUCACGAGUACAAUGAAGUUUUGCACAAGGACGCAGCUAUUAUUAUCAUUAAGGGUGUUCUUGAUGCUGAGAAAUCUUACUUCGAUGAGCUUUCCUGACUAACACAACCUCUCGGCACCAAAUUAACAAUUUACCAUAGCUUAGCAACAAAUAGGUAACACGUACCCUUAUGUUUUAGAGGAUGGGGUUAAAAUUUUGUUCACUUUUAUGUGAGAGUAGUGGGAUGAUAAGUAGGUCUGGCUCUGACUUUUUUAACGCCUAAACGCCUACGGCGAUCUUUCAACAGGGACAUUUUAUACAUAUUU